rnacentral:rRNA from 1 species
GUGGGGAAUAUUGGGCAAUGGGCGAAAGCCUGACCCAGCAACGCCGCGUGAAGGAAGAAGGUCUUCGGAUCGUAAACUUCUAUCCUUGGUGAAGAUAAUGACGGUAGCCGAGAAGGAAGCCCCGGCUAACUACGUGCCAGCAGCCGCGGUAAUACGUAGGGGGCAAGCGUUGUCCGGAAUGAUUGGGCGUAAAGGGCGCGUAGGCGGCCUGGUAAGUCUGGAGUGAAAGUCCUGCUUUUAAGGUGGGAAUUGCUUUGGAUACUGUCGGGCUUGGGUGCAGGAGAGGUAAGUGGAAUUCCCGGUGUAGCGGUGAAAUGCGUAGAGAUCGGGAGGAACACCAGUGGCGAAGGCGACUUACUGGACUGUAACUGACGCUGAGGCGCGAAAGUGUGGGGAGCAAACAGGAUUAGAAACCCUGGUAGUCC